UACGGAGGGGGCUAGCGUUGUUCGGAAUUACUGGGCGUAAAGCGCACGUAGGCGGCUUUGUAAGUUAGAGGUGAAAGCCCGGAGUUCAACUCCGGAAUUGCCUUUAAGACUGCAUCGCUAGAAUUGUGGAGAGGUGAGUGGAAUUCCGAGUGUAGAGGUGAAAUUCGUAGAUAUUCGGAAGAACACCAGUGGCGAAGGCGACUCACUGGACACAUAUUGACGCUGAGGUGCGAAAGCGUGGGGAGCAAACAGG
rnacentral:rRNA from 1 species